rnacentral:rRNA from 1 species
GGUAUUUUGACUAUACGAAGGUAUUGAAAUAAGAUUUUAAAUGAGUGCUAAGAGAAUGAUUAAACAAUUAAAAGCUUUCUUUAAUUGAAUAAUUGAAUUUAAUUUUUUAGUGCAAAAGCAAAAAUAAAAAUUAGGGACAAGAAGACCCUAUGAAUUUUUUAUUAAAUUUUAUAAAACUUUAUAUAAAAUUUAAUUUAAUUGGGGUGAUGGAAAAAGAAUAAAUAUCUUUUUUUUUAAAAAAAAAAUUGGUUCCGUUUUUAGCGAUUAAAUGAAAAAAAUACUCUAGGGAUAACAGCGUAAUAAUUUUGGAUAGUUCAUAUAGAUAAAAUAGUUUGCGACCUCGAUGUUGGAUUAGGAUUCUUUUUUGGUGAAGAAGU